rnacentral:lncRNA from 1 species
GUAAAGGACUAGUGCUAAACAAUCGGCAUGUAUGUGGAGUUCAAAUGAAGAAAUGCUUUGAAAAGCAGACUGGAUCUGAAAUCUUUCAGUUCCUUAGACAAUAGCCUUGGGCUUGUGGUCAAAAGUACCUGCGAGCCCGCACGCUGCUUGUGUUGCUUCUUCUUCCUUGUCCUGUUCAUCAAAGGUCACAGCCCCAGUCAGCCCCAUGCUAGACCAGAAUGGGCUGAUGUGGAUUCGUGGGUUUUCAAGACUUCAGUUUCUUUAUUCUGCUUUCAAAUCAACAUUCACUUCUGCAAAAUGACUUAGAAUAUUGACUUUAAAAAUCAUCAGCUCCUGGGCUUCUGAGAGCAGUGAUGAUAUCGGAACAGACUAACUUAGCUCUGUGGUUGCCAAACUCUGAUCUUUGGAGGGUGCCAGUUCAAGAUGGAUUUUCUAGUGGUGCAGGAUAGAUGAGACGAAAAGGACCACGGCACCUCUGAUGCAGCCUCCAUCAAUCAGCUUGUGGGUUUGGCUCUGGAACCUUGAAGCAACGUUUAACAAAGACAGCAUGGAAGGUAACAUCAUGACCACACAUAGAGUUCAUUUUCAAGAUGAAGUUUCUUCGUUGGAUGGUGGCUGUCCAAUCCUCCUUCUGUCCAUCACUGACUGCCUCAGAGCUGUCCCCGGAUUGACAGUUUGAGAGCGAAUCAAUAAUAAUUAUCUGGCUGCAGCCAUGGUGAGCUGUGUAAUUCUGCCACUGGACAGCACUGUGCAAACAGAGCUGCAUCUCCAGCUGCAGGUUUAAAUAUGCAGGCCGAGCCUGUCCAUUUAGGUGUGCUGAACAUGUGAUUACCGGGAGGCAGGCCCUCUUCCUCUGCUGCAUUAAAGCCUUUUCAAAUGAUACACUCACCUUCAGGGACUCUGGCUGCCGGCAAGCGCUAUGUAAAACGUUGUCUUCAGGGCCCUACAACAUAAAUCAGUGAUUUAAAGGGACAGCCCUAGGAGAGGAGAUAUAUUUUGCUUCAGUUCUUUAUACAGACUUUGCGAAGAAACACUAUGGGAAAUAUGUAAGCACGAAUAAAAGAAUUGGACCUGAAAUAUAUGUGGGCCUA